AGGGUCCUUGCUCUGCUGAACACUGGGCGAUGUAUGGAAGUGUUGAAUCACUAUAUUGUACACCUGAAACUCAUAUUACACUGUAUGUUACCUAACUGGAAUUUAAGUAAAACUUUAAAAAUAAAAUAAAAUACAGAAAAACACACACAAUCUUAGGUAGGAGGACUUUACAUAAUUUCUAUGAUAAAGUCAGCUCAAUUCCAAAAACUUCAUUUUUUUCUCUCCUUAGAAUAAGAUGAGCUAGUUCUAUAGAUCAUAUGAAAAUUAAACAAUCAAGAAUGAACAGGAAAACACUAAAAAAAGGGAGACUUCAAUUAUUAAACCAUAUUAUAUUGAUAUAUGAAUUGAGAAAUAGAACCACCAGAGCAGGAAAGAAAAUAAACCCACUACAUGUAAGAAGUUAAUACAUGAUAGGGGCAUUCGAUCAGUAGGGGAGAUGAUCAGAAAAUGGUGAUGGACAAGUAUGGGGCCAGCCAGGGAAAAAAUUGGAUUCAUCUUUCACACUGUGCACCUGAACAUAUUCUAAAUAGAUCAAAGAUUUAAAUGUAAAAAAAUGAAACGAUACCAGAAGAAAAUGAGACUAUUCUUUUAUAAAUCUGUGGUGAGGAUCGUCUUUUUAAAUGUCACUCAAAAUCCAGAGGCCAUAUUAAUAAAGUUAAUACAUAAAAAAAUUAUACAAGGAAAAAUAUAUAUGCAGAAAGGGGAAACAACUAUAGAUAAAGCCAAAAGAAAAUAUACAGGAAGAGAUAUUUGCAACUCUUAAAACAGAAUAAUCUCCUUAGUAUAUAAAAAGCACACAGAAAUCAAUGAGAAACAGGACAUCUUCCCAGUAGGAAAUUGGGCAAAAAUAUGAACAAAGAGUUCAUUGGAAAAGAAAAGCAAAUGGUUCCUAAUAAGACAUGAAUGAAAAUUUAAAAUUACAUGGCAGUAUCACUUUUUUGCCCAUUGCAAUGGCCAGAAUACUUACAAGUAAACAAACAUUUUAUAUCACACUCUAUUGGCCACGUGUGGAAAACAAGCACUCUCGUUCACUGCUGUCGGGGAGUAAAUUUCAGAAAAACCCCCAUGGAGGGCAGUUGGCAAUAUUUGUUAGAAUCACUCAUUCAUAUAGCUUUGACCCAGAAAUUCCUCUUCUGGGAAAUUAUCCAAGAGAGUAAAUGAUACAUGUACAAAGUUAUGCAUUACUGCAUUUUUCAGAAGAGUGAAGGAUCAAAAACAACCUAAACGUCCAUCAUAAGGAAACAAAUACAUUAUUGUAUCCACACAAAUAGGGAUAUUCUAGUCUGUAGUACAAAAAUGAGUAAAUAGGGAAACUUUCCGGUCAAGAAAAUUGUCUGAUAAAAAGCUCCAAGAUACAUUUAAAAAAGCAAGAUACAGUAUAAUACACUGUCUUUGGUUUUCAAAAAAAAAGAGAGAGAGAAAAUAAGAAUAUGUGUUUACAUUUGCUGCCAUAGCCACAAAGAAACUCUAGAAGCUUUCAGAAAAUGUAAUAACGUAUGUGGCAGGGGAAAGUGCCUUACUUUGUCUUUGCUUAAGUCUGGCCUUCCCAGGGAGGUGUGCCUCAACUUCUCAGUGCAGUAGGACGUGAAGGCCAUGAAGACUGUCGUUUUUCCUGCUUUAUUUACUGAUGUGCCCCAAGCACCGAGAACACUGCACGUAUCAGGCACUCAACAAGCAUUUGGUCGACAGGUGAGCGGAGCCGUGGAAGAAAUGAUUUGUCCACAUCGUGGAGGAAAUACGCGAUCACAGGUUGGAACUGCAAUGAAGAGGAUAUGCUUAUAGCACUAAGAAGCUAGUUGACCAUCUGGCAGUGGAAGAGGACACAGCAGACCCAGCUGCAAUUCCAUGUGAAUUUUAAGGCACCUAAUAUACUGUCUAAAGAUGCAUACAAACCACAGUAAGUUGUAAGACCCGAGACUGCCAACUUUUGGCAUAUUAAUUGAGUUGAUAUUUUUAUCCAUGGCCCAGAUAUGUAUGUUAAGAUACUAAGUAAAAUAAUGCACUUUAGAAAAAUGUG